CGCGUAUGCAACCUACCCAUAACUGGAGGAUAGCCCAGAGAAAUUUGGAUUAAUACUCCAUAGUAUUGUUGAACGGCAUCGUUUAAUAAUUAAAGAAUUUUGGUUAUGGAUGGGCAUGCGUUAGAUUAGCUAGUUGGUAAGGUAACGGCUUACCAAGGCAACGAUCUAUAGCGGGUCUGAGAGGAUGAUCCGCCACACUGGAACUGAGACACGGUCCAGACUCCUACGGGAGGCAGCAGUAGGGAAUAUUGGGCAAUGGAGGCAACUCUGACCCAGCCAUGCCGCGUGAGGGAAGACGGC
rnacentral:rRNA from 1 species